rnacentral:piRNA from 1 species
UUCUUAAGAGUUAGACUCCAAGUGUGGUC